GGGAGGUUAGCUCAGGGGUAGAGCGGUCGCCUCACACGCGACAGGUCACAAGUUCGAAACUUGUACCUCCCACCA
rnacentral:tRNA from 1 species